CAGCCGUAAACUAUGCGCGUUAGGUGUAUCGGUGACCACGAGUUACCGAGGUGCCGAAGGGAAACCGUGAAACGUGCCGCCUGGGAAGUACGGUCGCAAGGCUGAAACUUAAAGGAAUUGGCGGGGGAGCACCACAACGGGUGGAGCCUGCUGUUUAAUUGGACUCAACGCCGGGAAGCUCACCGGAUAAGACAGCGGAAUGAUUGCCGGGCUGAAGACUCUGCAUGACUAGCUGAGAGGAGGUGCAUGGCGUAGACGUCU
rnacentral:rRNA from 1 species